rnacentral:rRNA from 1 species
UACGGGGGGGGCAAGCGUUGUUCGGAAUUACUGGGCGUAAAGGGCUCGUAGGCGGCCAACUAAGUCAGACGUGAAAUCCCCAGGCUUAACCUGGGAACUGCGUCUGAUACUGGAUGGCUUGAAUUCGGGAGAGGGAUGCAGAAUUCCAGGUGUAGCGGUGAAAUGCGCAGAUAUCAGGAGGAACACCGGUGGCGAAGGCGGGUCUCUGGGCCGUAACUGACGCUGAGGAGCGAAAGCGUGGGGAGCGAACAGG